UACAGAGGUCUCAAGCGUUGUUCGGAUUCAUUGGGCGUAAAGGGUGCGUAGGCGGCGCGGUAAGUCGGGUGUGAAAUCUCGGGGCUUAACUCCGAAACUGCAUUCGAUACUGCCGUGCUUGAGGACUGGAGAGGAGACUGGAAUUUACGGUGUAGCGGUGAAAUGCGUAGAUAUCGUAAGGAAGACCAGUGGCGAAGGCGGGUCUCUGGCUCGACCCUGACGCUGAGGCGCGAAAGCGUGGGGAGCGAACGGG
rnacentral:rRNA from 1 species